ACACCUGCUGGUCUCACCGCUAGGGCCUGGGCAUCACAGGCAGGGGGAAUGGGGAGGGGACGGUAGCGUCAGCCUACACCCACACGCAGUUUCCUGAUAAAAGGUCCUUUGGAAACUUUGAUUCUCUUCUCACCAAGUUGAACGGAGAUGUGUUCCCAUAGUAAGAGUGAGGCCCCUGCAUUUGCUGCCCUCGGUUUUCCCAACUAACACCAGGGCCUCCCCCCUGUACCCCAUUCAUAUGCCUCAGAAGCUGACAAUGACUGUUGGGCUUUUCCAAUGAAUACCAGAACACCAUUUCCUGCAGCCUGAAAAGAAGACAGUAUAAUUGUUUGGCAGCAAGAGACAGGAUCUCGCUGCGUUGCUCAGACUGGUCUCGAACUCCUGGGCUUAAGGGAUUCUCCUGCCUCAAUCACAGCCUCCCAAGUAGCUGAGAUUAAAAGUGCUCACCACCGUGCCAGCGAGUUCAGUUUUUGAGAUCUGUCCCAUUCCACCAAGGAUUUAAGGCUAAAGAUUUAAGUUGUGAAGAUGAUAAUGGAUUGACUCUAUGAAUGGCCACAUUUUUUUAUGCCUCCCUUUUCCCUUGUCCUCGGGCAGUGUCCUCCGACACUGACUCUGUGCUUGGCCCUGUGACUUGCUUUGGCCAAUGGUACAGCAGCAAACUUGAUGCAAACACAACUUGAAAAAGAAGAGGACAGCCAAGUCAUCCCAGCCAAGGCCACCCUGGACCAGCCAGCCUCUUGCCAAGCUGCCAGUGACCACAGAGUCCAAUUAACAACAGCCAGUCCUGGCCCAGGGUGGAGCCAAGACUCUGAGGAGAGGGCUGAACUGUGAACCUAGAAGUACCAUCUCCCCCUGCACACACCUUUGGUCAAGUUGACCCCAAGAAGAAGGACAAGUCCUCUGCACGGCGAUGAGGCCAUACACACAGUCUGUGGCCCGGCUUUGGGAGACUGAUGGGACAAAGGAUGUUUUGCACGAUCCUUGGUCUCUGAGCAAAUAUAUACAUGGGUUAACACAAA
rnacentral:lncRNA from 1 species